AGUGAACGCUGGCGGUAGGCCUAACACAUGCAAGUCGAACGGCAGCACAGUAAGAGCUUGCUCUUACGGGUGGCGAGUGGCGGACGGGCGAGGAAUACAUCGGAAUCUACUUUUUCGUGGGGGAUAACGUAGGGAAACUUACGCUAAUACCGCAUACGACCUACGGGUGAAAGCAGGGGAUCUUCGGACCUUGCGCGAUUGAAUGAGCCGAUGUCGGAUUAGCUAGUUGGCGGGGUAAAGGCCCACCAAGGCGACGAUCCGUAGCUGGUCUGAGAGGAUGAUCAGCCACACUGGAACUGAGACACGGUCCAGACUCCUACGGGAGGCAGCAGUGGGGAAUAUUGGACAAGGGGCGCAAGCCUGAUCCAGCCAUACCGCGUGGGUGAAGAAGGCCUUCGGGUUGUAAAGCCCUUUUGUUGGGAAAGAAAAGCAGCAGGUUAAUACCCCGCUGUUCUGACGGUACCCAAAGAAUAAGCACCGGCUAACUUCG
rnacentral:rRNA from 1 species